AACGCAAUUGUCCUGGUGGCAUAUAUCCCUAGGAAAGUUUAUAAAACCGUAGGGAACCAUGGCAGCAAAAAAAUUUCCUGCUGGCCGCCACUACUCUGCCGCUCGGGGGAUUCAACAUUUUUGCCCGGUCUCUAUUUAUUUUACGCAAACAUCUCUCCUCUCACUCACUCUCCUGUUGCUGGCUCUCCUCUCUCUCUACUCAGAUCCAGUGAAGCAUGGGCGGAACGGCGACCAAUGCGGCGUCGGUGGAGCUCUGGCGAGCUAGCGCAGCGACUAUGCUUUCGGUGGAGCAGCGCGGGGACAAGCUCCGGCAAGCGAGGCGCGCAGCAGUCAAUCUAGGCAGAGAGAAGUGUGGCACGCGGGGGCGAAGGGCGAUGCAUCCUGGUGGCAGCAACGAGCUCACACGGCGGCGGCGGCGUGCCUGCAGGUGGUGGGAAGCGACGAUUGCUGCUCGGACGAGCGAGCGGUCGAUUUCCGGCCGAGCGAGCUGCAGCACGCGCAUCCCGACUCCAGCAUGCAUAGAGGAGAGCAAAGUCGUCCAAUGGUUUGCCUAAUAUGAUAUGGAGAAGCACUGCAGAGUCGACGAGCUGGACGGUGGCAUGCAAGCUAAGGAUGCAGCAUACUCAAAGAGCAUCCAGGCGAACGGAGCUCAUGCGGCAGCGGCACCGAGUCCAGCAAGAAGUUGCGGCAUGGAGGGGUUGCUUUUUUCUUUCUUUCUUUUUCUUAUCACCUUGAUCCUCCUGAUCUGUAGACCUCAUGGUGUUUGAACUCGUGGACUUGUUGAUGGUGGCUGUAAUUUUAGACCUGCUGCAAGCAGCUAAUAUGAGUAAUAUCAAUAUGUUGGUGGAUAUUAGCUAAAAUGAAA